UACGUAGGGUGCGAGCGUUGUCCGGAAUUAUUGGGCGUAAAGAGCUCGUAGGCGGUUUGUCGCGUCGACUGUGAAAACCUACAGCUUAACUGUGGGCUUGCAGUCGAUACGGGCAGACUUGAGUUCGGUAGGGGAGACUGGAAUUCCUGGUGUAGCGGUGAAAUGCGCAGAUAUCAGGAAGAACACCCGUGGCUAAGGCGGCCCUCUAGUACGGUACUGACGCUGAGACGCGAAAGCGUGGGGAGCGAACAGG
rnacentral:rRNA from 1 species